rnacentral:rRNA from 1 species
CAAAGGAAUUGACGGGGACCCGCACAAGCGGUGGAUGAUGUGGAUUAAUUCGAUGCAACGCGAAAAACCUUACCUACCCUUGACAUGCCAGGAACCCUGCUGAGAGGUGGGGGUGCUCGAAAGAGAGCCUGGGCACAGGUGCUGCAUGGCUGUCGUCAGCUCGUGUCGUGAGAUGUUGGGUUAAGUCCCGCAACGAGCGCAACCCUUGUCAUUAGUUGCCAUCAUUUAGUUGGGCACUCUAAUGAGACUGCCGGUGACAAACCGGAGGAAGGUGGGGAUGACGUCAAGUCCUCAUGGCCCUUAUGGGUAGGGCUUCACACGUCAUACAAUGGUCGGUACAGAGGGUUGCCAAGCCGCGAGGUGGAGCCAAUCCCAGAAAGCCGAUCGUAGUCCGGAUCGUAGUCUGCAACUCGACUGCGUGAAGUCGGAAUCGCUAGUAAUCGUGGAUCAGCAUGCCACGGUGAUACGUUCCCGGGUCUUGUACACACCGCCCGUCACACCAUGGGAGUGGUUUCACCAGA